rnacentral:lncRNA from 1 species
GGAUAGGGAAGCCUGGCGUGCUGCAGACCAUGGUGUCACAAAGAGUUGGACACGACCUAGUAACUGAACAUCAGAGUUAAUCGCCUUAAACUACACAUUGCUUUUACCACUGAUGAACAAUUUCUUCUUUCUGCCUUUUAUUUUUUUCAUUUGGUAUUUAUUUAUCCAUCUCCCUUAAGAACCAGGACUCUUUGACCCAUGUCAGCAUCCCCCAUGGUACCCAACCAAACGCAUGGAAAAGAAGAUGGUGAAGAGGAACAGGAUGUAGAGGAGGGAUGAGCCAGAUCUCCUGAUACGAGGCAAGAUGGGGGGGUGUGGGGUGGAGCCCCGGGAGGAGAGCUGGGGGCCAAGGCUCCAGAGACACUGCCUGUGUCACCAGUAUCCCGGGUGUCCUGCCUCGGGAUGAAAUGUUGGGCUCUAGUCUCCCAUGGGAACGCUAAUUAGCUGGGUGACUUUAAUCAAGUUGGUUUGCCUCUCUGGGCCUCAGCAUCCUUGCCUAUGGAAUGAAGGAAAUGCGCUAAACCCAAGGAUCUCUUCCAACCCUGGAUUCCAUACCUUUUUGUUCCACCUCCAGACACAACAGUGUCACGCUAAGCUUGCAAUGAUCACAGGGUGAGGUCUCUGCCUGGCUCCUCCAUCAAACCUUGAGCUCCUCCAAGAAAAGUACCACACACUGGAUUUUGUCGGCUGCUGCCGCCUUUUCAUUUCCCCCUGGACCUGGCAUUAUUUUGCUUAACGAACGAAUGAAUGACCUGAAGGAGUGAGGAGUUCUGACAGCCCAAGAGCAGAAGUCUGGGCUCAGACAGAGCUGAUGGAACAGCAACGCGACUGCUUCUGCUACGAGGCAGGAUAUGAAGCCCCUCACUCUGUCCCCCAGCCAUUCCCAUCAGUGGGACCAGAUGGAGCAGAGACUGAGAACACAAAUUCAAAGCAAGAUCCUGGGAGAAGGAAGAGGCUGAAAGAAAGAAGCAACAGGAUGAAAAUGGCCAACGGGGUAUGUGGGAGAAGAG